CCCCCGCCCCCAGCCCAACAGGGAGCUCUCUGGAAACAUGGCUACAGAACAUGUUAAUGGAAAUGGUACUGAAGAGCCCAUGGAUACUAGUUCUGCAGUUGUCCAUUCAGAAAAUUUUCAGACGUUGCUUGAUGCUGGUUUACCACAUAAAAUUGCUGAAAAACUAGAUGAAAUUUAUGUUGCAGGGCUAGUUGCACAUAGUGAUUUAGUUGAAAGAGCUAUUGAAGCUUUAAAAGAAUUCAAUGAAGACGGUGCAUUGGCAGUUCUUCAACAGUUAAAGACAGUGAUCUCUCUCAUGUUCAGAACAAAAGUGCCUUUUUAUGUGGAGACAUGAAGACUUAUAGGCAGAGAGAAAAACAAGGGACCAAAGUAGCAGAUUCUAGUAAAGGACCAGAUGAGGCAAAAAUUAAGGCACUCUUGGAAAGAACAGGCUACACACUUGAUGUGACCACUGGACAGAGGAAGUAUGGAGGACCACCUCCAGAUUCCGUUUAUUCAAGUCAGCAGCCUUCUGUUGGCACUGAGAUAUUUGUGGGAAAGAUCCCAAGAGAUGUAUUUGAGGAUGAACUUGUUCCAUUAUUUGAGAAAGCUGGAUCUAUAUGGGAUCAUCGUCUAAUGAUGGAUCCACUCACUGGUCUCAAUAGAGGUUAUGCGUUUGUCACUUUUUGUACAAAAGAAGCAGCUCAGGAGGCUGUUAAACUGUAUAAUAAUCAUGAAAUUCGUUCUGGAAAACACAUUGGUGUCUGCAUCUCAGUUGCCAACAAUAGGCUUUUUGUGGGCUCUAUUCCUAAGAGUAAAACCAAGGAACAGAUUCUUGAAGAAUUUAGCAAAGUAACAGAGGGUCUUACAGACGUCAUUUUAUACCACCAAUCGGAUGACAAGAAAAGAAAACAGAGGCUUUUGCUUUCUUGAAUAUGAAGAUCACAAAACAGCUGCCCAGGCAAGGCGUAGGUUAAUGAGUGGUAAAGUCAAGGUCUGGGGGAAUGUUGGAACUGUUGAAUGGGCUGAUCCUAUGGAAGAUCCUGAUCCUGAGGUUAUGGCAAAGGUAAAAGUGCUGUUUGUACACAACCUUGCCAAUACUGUAACAGAAGAGAUUUUAGAAAAGGCAUUUAGUCAGUUUGGGAAACUGGAACGAGUGAAGAAGUUAAAAGAUUAUGCAUUCAUUCAUUUUGGUGAGUGAGAUGGUGCUGUCAAGGCUAUGGAAGAAAUGAAUGGCAAAGACUUGGAGGGAGAAAAUACUGAAAUUGUUUUUGCCAAGCCACCAGAUCAGAAAAGGAAAGAAAGAAAAGCUCAGAGGCAAGCAGCAAAAAAAUCAAAUGUAUGACGAUUACUACUAUUAUGGUCCAUCUUAUAUGCCCCCUCCAACAAGAGGUCGAGGGUGUGGAGGUAGAGGUGGUUAUGAAUAUCCUCCAGAUUAUUACGGAUAUGAAGAUUAUUAUGAUUAUUAUGGCUAUGAUUACCAUAACUAUUGUGGUGGAUAUGAAGAUCCAUACUAUGGUUAUGAAGAUUUUCAAGUUGGAGCUAGAGGAAGGCGUGGUAGAGGAGCAAGGGGUGCUGCUCCAUCCAGAGGUCGUGGGGCUGCUCCUCCCCGUGGUAGAGCUGGUUAUUCACAGAGAGGAGGUCCUGGAUCAGCAAGAGGCGUUCGAGGUGUGAGAGGAGGUGCCCAACAACAAAGGGGCCGCGGGCAGGGAAAAGGGUUCCAGGCUGGUCCUGACCUGUUACAGUGA